GUGGGUGAGAUCUCAUGAGGAUCCUAGGCACAUGGGUGCCCUUUUAACAUUUCUCUAUAUAUAUAACCAAUCUCAGUAGCAAAAAAACCCAGAUAGAUCAGUUAGCUAGGGUUCCAAAUGGUAGUUCCGAGAGCUUCAAAAAUUUCAUUUUGAAGAUUUGAUUCAGGGUUUCAUCUUUGGACGGGUCUUUUAAGCUUCUACUACGUACAGCAAGGUUCGAUCGAUCUUACUGGGUUUGGGUUUGGGUUUGUGUCUAAAGUCUAAACUUCUUUCCCGGCAUUUCUUCAAAACCCAUUACAGUUUCUCCAUCCCUCACUUGCCCUUUUCCCCACAUCAAAAUCGAAUCUUUCAACUUCUUUUCUUCUCUCCAAAGGCCUGUCUCAGAGUCGGAGGAAACUCACUCACUUGGGUCCCAACACCAUGUUUGAAUUGAUUAAACCUUCUGCUUUUAGGAAAGAUAAUGGGGAAGAAGGUGUUAAAACGAUUGAAGAAAGAAGCUUUAGUUGGUGGGUCUUCUGGGUUGUUGAGUAAUGGGCUUGAGUCAACCCUUAAUCGACUGAGUAAGUGGAUUGUAUCUGGGAUUUUUGCUGCUGUGCUUCUUGGGAGGCAUGAUGCAGAAGCCGUUUGGUUUGCCAUAGCUAUCUUUUGCAUUACAACGAUUGAACAAGAAAGUUUAGUUGGGCCCAAACCAUAUUUUGUAAAUCUUCAAGAAAGUUAGGGAGCUUCGUCAGAUGCCGCUGCAAUUGCUUAAGGUCAAACAAAGCUCAUCCAAUCUUGAUGGUAUGUACAAUUACUAAAUUUUUUUAGUAUGAUUUUACAAUUAAAAAUUAAUAUUUGGUGUUAUUUUCAUUUAAUUUUCAUUGAAUUGAACUUUUAAGCUAUCUAAUUUAGUUGUCAUAUACAUAUUUUUGGUUUCUUCUUAUUUUAAGGAAUUUGUCACUCCAUAAAUCAUGACACAUGCUCUUGUUGGUUCUAUUCUCUUAGUCAUGUUUGAAAAAAUUAGUGAAAGAGUAGAUUUUUAAGAGAUUAUAGAUUUUAUACGGGUAAAAAAAAUUAGAUGGAAAAAUGUUUUAAGAAAAUAAUUAGAAAAUUACAGUUAGUUGACUCUGUUACUUGUGAUGUUGAGCAUAUGCAAAUAAAAAAUAGAAAUGUGAAUGACUAACUUUAUGAAAUAAAAGAAACUUCAUACUAGUUAGAAAACUUAAUAGAUGAGAUAAGAAUCCAUAUUUUGGGAUGCAAGGUGAAAAGUGAACUGGAAGUAAUUGUGAAAGUCAAGAACUUUUACUUAUUCUCGUUGUCAAAGUAGAAUCCAAAAUAAGAGACCUACUAAAUAAAGUAGAAAACAAUUUAAUUAAAAAAGAUGUUUUCAGUUUAGGAAUAGGAUUAAAAAUAGAGCAUUCAGAUUAUUACCUUGCUCUUUUGGUGUAAGAAUGCGAUAUUCAAUGUGUGAUUUUGAUAAGAAUCAUAUUGUUGGGUGGUUGGUUUAAGUUGUAUGCAAUACUAAACUUGGUGUCCUUUUAUUCAAUAAAUGAUUGGGAUUGGGAAGACGAAUAUAGCUUAAUUUAUUUAUAGUGAUGAUAGAAUAAAAAAAUAUUUUGAUAUUAUAACAAGAGUUGAUGCAUCUUACAAGUACGAUGAAUAUAAGCUGAUAAAGACGCUAUUUGAUAGCAUUGUCAACUUAGCUAAAAUGAAUUUCAGAUACAAAUGCUAGUAAAAUAAGGAGUCUUAUGAUAACAAUGACUUUUAUCAACUCCAAGUUAACUUGCAACUGCUUUUUAGCCAGUAUUUUUUUUUAUCCUAGAUGAUGUGGAAUGAAAAUUACAACAAUUGCGAUUAUUUUAAAAGUUAUUUUAGUAUUGAGCUCGAAAAAGUAGAAUUACAAUAACUACUAAAAGUGAAAUUGUACCGUAAAAAAUGAGUGAUGCCAUAAGCUAUUACCUAUAUAAACACCAUUCAUUGAUGAUUGUUGGAGUUUAUUGCUAAGCACAUCUUUAAUAAUAUGCUCAGAACUCAUCUAAACAUUCAAAUUUAGAAAUAGUUAGUAGGCAUAUUAUUGGAAAUUGCAAUAACUUUGCAUUGGCAGUAAAAUCACAUAGUGAACUUUUACGUUCAGAAUUAAAUACAAAAGAGUGGAAUAUUUUACUUAAGAGCAACAUAUGGAAGUUAUCCCAGCGAGAAAAUAAUAUUAUUCUACCUUUAUGAUUAAGUUACAACUAUUUGUCGCUACAUCUAAGGAGAUGGCAAGCGUAUUGCUCGAGACUUUUCAAAUAUUAUAUAUUUGAGCAAAAGAAAUUAGUUUAGAUGUGGAUGGAAGAAAGUCUUUUGCAACCCAAGAAAGAAAAAAACAUAAAAGAUGUUGGGAAAGAGUACUUUGAGCACCUUGUAGCUAGGUUAUUGAUCCAAAGAUUGAUGAUAACAAUAGUUUCAUUAUCAAUGGAUUAGUGAAUGACCUAGAAAAUUUAUCUCAAGAAAUUUUAGUUGCACAUUAGAACUUGAUGAAUUUAGUACCAUUAUAAGCAGUUCUACUCUUCAUUUGUCAUCUGAAAAUAAAUAUUAAUAGUGUAAUAAAAUUUAUGGACUUUGUUGAAAUGACGUCUCUGCGAAUGUUUUUUCAAUUAAAAUACGCGAAGAUUGGCGAGGAACUUGUAUGAAAUGAAUAAAUGUUAGAUAAACUCUUCUCAUCAGCUAAAUAUUUGCAAAUUCUUUCCCUUUUUUAUUAUCGUAUAAUAUGAUUGUGUAGUUCUAUCGGCAAAUCAAGGCAUUUGAGGUACUUGGACUUAUCAUCAACUCUUUUUAAUUGUUGUCGAAGAAUAUUUGUCAAUUGUACAAUUUACAAACACUACUAUUGAUAAGUUUUAAGUACCUCGUUCGGUUACCCGUUGAUAUAGGAAGAUUGAUAAGUUUGCAUUAUCAAAACAUUAUUGAUAGAAAAGUAACAAAAAUGCUAGCAGGAAUGUCAAACAUAAAAGAUGUGCAAACUUUAAUUGAUUUUAUGCUAUCAUUUCCCAGAAUAAAUUAGUUAAAGUUUGCAAAUCGUUCAUAUUAGACAUUACUCCUUGCAUUUAUGUUAUUUUUGUAUCAAUAUUGCUUUGAUAAUGCAAACUUACCAAUCAUCCUAUAUCAACGGGUAACUAGGUGAGGUACUUACAACUUUUCAACAAUGAUGUUUGUAAAUUGUAUAAUUAUGACAAAUCUAACCCGACAACAAUAUAAGAAGAGUUGUUGAUAGAUCCAUGUAUUUUAAACACCUUAAUUUGGCAAUAAAACUAGACAAUUAUGGUAUAGGAUAAUAAAAAAGACAAAGAAUUUGCUAAUAUUUAGCAAACUACAAGAGUUUAUCUAAUACAUGUUUGUUUCAUACAAGCUCCUCGCCAGCUUCCGAGUAUUCUAAUGGUAAAAAUGUCGCAAAAAUAUUAUUUCAGCAAAGUCCAUAAAUUUCGUUACACUGUCAAUGUCUCUUUUUUUAUCUGACAUAUGAAGAGUAAAUUGCUUCUAAUGUUAUCAAAUUCAUCAAGUUUUAUCCUGCAACUAAAAUUUCCCGAAAUAAAUUUUACCAAGUCAUUCAAUUAUCCAUGCAUAAUAAAACCUCUUAUCCCUGAUCUUUGGAUCAAUGACCUAGCUACAAGAUGCUCAAAGUACUCUUCCCCAACAUCUUCUAUCUUUUUCUCUAUCUCGCAUUGCAAAAUAUCUUCUCUCAUCCACAUCCAGACUAAUUCUUUUUGUUCAAAUUAUUAAUGCUUGGAAAGUAUCGAGCAAUAUGUUAUUUAUUUCGUUAGAUGUGUUAGCAGAUAAUAGUAACUCAACCACAAAGUUUGAAUGAUAUUACUUUCUCUCUCGGGUAACUUUCAUAUGUCGCUCUUAAGUAAAAUAUUCCAUUUUUUUGGAUUUAAUUCUGAACGCAAAAGUCCAUUGAUUGAUUUCACUGUCAAUGUAAAAUUAUUACACUUUGUAAUAAUCUACCUAUCAGUUGUUUCUAAAUUUGAAUGUCCACAUGAGUUUUGAGCAUUAUUAAAAGCAUGCUUAGCAAUCUCCAACAAUAAUCAUUGGAUAGUGUUUAUACAUGUGAUAGCUUGUGGCAUUACUAACUUUCGACGCUACAACUUAACUUCUAGUAGUCAUUACGAUUUUACUUCCCCAAGCUCAAGACUCAAAAUAACUUUUAAGAUAAUCUCACUUGUUGUAAUUUCGUUUUAUACGUCAUCUAGGACAAAAAAAGAAAUUGCUGGCCAAAAAGCAUUUCAAGUAAAUCUGGAGUUGAAAUCAUUGCUAUCGUAAAGCUCUUUAUUAUAAUAGCUUUCGUAUCUGAGACUCAUUUUCUCUAAGUUGACAAUACUAUUAAAAUAAUCGUUCACUCUAUCAUCACUAUAAAUGAGUUAGUUAUAUUUGUCUCCCCAAUCCCAAUCAUUCAUACUAUAGAAAGGACAUCAGUUUGAGUACUGCAUACAAUUGAAUUUAGCUACCCAACAAUAUGAUUCUUGUCAAAACUCCUACUUAGGAUAUCGCAUUCUUUCACUAAAGGGGCAAGGUAAUGAUCAAAAUGCUUUAUUUUUAAUAUCUUUUUCCUAAAUUGAGAACAUUUGUUUGAAUUAAAUUGCAUUCUACUUCAUCUAGUAGCUCUCUUAUUUUGGGUUCUACUUUGACAACUAGAAUAAGUGAAAGUGCUUAACUUUCACAACUGCUUCCAGGCUCACUUUUCACUAUGCAUUCCAAAAUAUUUGUUCUUAUCUCAUUUAUUAAGUUCUCUAACUCAUGGGAAGCUUCUCUUAGUUCAUCAAGUCAUUCAUUCACACUUCUAUUUCUUAUUUUCAUCUUCUCAGCAUCACUAGUAACGAUAUUGACUAGUCGUAAUUUUUUAAUUAUUUUUUUUGAACAUCUUUCGAUCUUAUAUUUUUGCCUGUAUAGAGUCUACAAUCUCCUGAGAAUCUACCACUUCACAAAUUUUUUUCAAACACAUCUGAGUGAAUAUAAUCAACAAGCACGCCUGUUCAUGAUUUAUGGAGUCAUAAAUUUCUGAAAUUAAUAAGAAACUACAAAAAUAUAUAUGACAGCUAAAUUUGAUAGCUUGAAGCUUAAAUUCAAUCAAGAUUAAAUGAAAAUGACACCAAAUAUUAAUUCGUAAUUGUAAAAUCAUGCUUAAAAUGAGUAAUUGUACUUACCAUCAAGGUUUGGGUAUGCUUGAUUUUUUAGAGUUAGUGAGCAAUGAAUUAAGAGAUUUACGUACCGCAUGAACUUUAUGAAUAAAGGGACAAAUAUUUAAUGGUUUUUAACCAGCAACGCUGGGAUCUGAAACAUUUUGCCUUUAUUAAUGUCCUUCUUCUGAAACUUCGGGAAUAACCAUGUUUGGAACUGAUCAAUGCUGGUCACUAAUUAAGAGCUCAAUGGAGCUCUAAUGGUUUGCUGUUGAUGAUGAGCUCAUUCACUCGGCUCCUCUUUCGUUCCCAGGUACCCAUUUUCAGUACAGUUGCUAUAUAUUUGACUUUGUUGCUCUCUAGGCUUGUAGAUCUGGGCCUUUAUGAAGAGUGUUCUUCAAUUUUAAUUUAAAGUUAGGAACUUUUUGGUUUAAAUCCAUUUCUUUUUCUACUCUCUUGAAAGUAAGAACAAUUUUUCGUGUUAGGCUCGAUUAGAGUGAAAGAAUUAAAACUCUGAGCUGAGCAUGCUUUCUUUCUUCUACCAAUAUUUUAACUUUUGUUUGGUUCAAUCAGUUAGGGUUUCUUGGGGUUCAUUUUGAAGAUUUACGUAAUGGUCAAAACCAGCUUGUUCUGGAUUUCACUCUUUUCACCCAAAGAGAGUUAAGGAGCUCAUUCGGAUGCUAGUGGAUUUGCUUAAGAACAAACAAAGCUCAUCCAAUCUUAAUGGUAAGUACAAGUACUCUUAUAUUUUUUCGGUAUGACUUUACAAUUAGGUUACAAAUUAAUUUUUGGUACCAUUUUCAUUUUCUUGUUAUUUUGAGGAAUUUGUGACUCCAUAAAUCAUGGUAUAGACACGCUUGUUUGUUCUAUUCUUUAGAUUGUGUUUGAAAAAAUUAGUGAAAGAGUAGAUUCUUAGGACAUUGUAGACUUUAUAAUGGCAAAAAAAACUAAACUGAAAGAUAUUUAAGAAGAUAAUUAGGAAAUUAUGAUUAAUUGGAGCCAUUAUUAGUGAUUCUUAGGAAAUGCAAAUAAGAAAUAAAAGUACUGUGAAUGAAUUAAGAACAUAUUUGAAAUUAACUAUCCAACAAUAAUAUAAUUAUUGUCAAAAGUCUAAAGGCAAUAUGAUUCUUGUCAAAAGUCUUACCUAAGAUAUUACAUUCUUGCACCAAGAGGCAAGGUAAUCAUCUAAAUACUCCAUUCAUAACCCCUUUCUUAAAUUAAGAACAUAUUUUUUAAUUAAAUUGCCUUAUAUUUUUUCUAGCUCUCUUAUUUUGGGUUCUACUUUGUCACCUGAAAUAAGUGAAAGUUCCUUACUUUCACAGCUACUUCGAGGCUCACUUUUCACCUUGCUUUACAAAAUAUCAAUUAUUAUCUCAUUUAUUAAGUUAUCUAGCUCAUGGGAAGUUUCUUUGAGUUUAUUAAGUCAUUCCUUCACACUUUCAUUUCUUAUUUGCAUCUCCUGAACAUCACUAGUAAUAGUUUUGACUAAUCAUAACUCCUAAUUAUCUUAAACAUCUUUUGGUCCAUUUUCUUUGCCCGUAUAAAAUCUACAAUCUUUUGAGAUUCUACUCUCUCACCAGUUUUUUCAAACACAUCCAAAAGAAUAUACCCAAUAAGCGUGUGUCUAUCAUUAUUUAUAUAGGUUUCUCAAAUUAACAAAAAACCACAAAAAUGUAUAUUACAACUAAAGUCGGUAGCUUAUAGCUUCAAUUCAAUCAAGGUUAAAUGAAAAUGACACCAAAUAUUAAUUCGUAAUUGUAAAAGCAUACUUAAUAAAAUGAGUAAUUGUACUUACCAUCAAAGUUUGGGUGUGCUUGAUUUCAAUGAACUUUUCAGAGUUAGUGAGCUACGAAUUACGGUAAUGUUUAGACAAUUAAACGACAACGAUUUUUGGGGUUCACAAGAAAACAUGUAAUGCAAAACAUGUUUAUGAGACUAUUUUUAGGAGAAAUAUAGAAUAGAAUUAAAAUAUUUAAACUACAUUAGCACAUUAAACAGUUCUCAUAGGAAAAUAAGUGUGGUUUCAUAUUGUGUUUAGCACAAGAGGAUAGACAGAUGGUGUCUUCUUUCCUGAGGAGCAGGCAUUAAACAGAUGGUCAUAUUUGCAUCAAACAAAUUUUUGUAAAUUAUAUCUUGUGGUGAUGAUUCAUGUCAUAUUAGUUUUGUUAAUUGAUCUCUAAAGGAAAAUAUUUGUUAGUUUUUUGAGUUUCUGUCCUAGCCUAUAUAUAGAGUCCUAUCCCAUUUCAUUUACUGAAUUUUCCCAAGUCUUUAGAGGGUGAAUCGGAGGGAUGUCAAAGCUUUGUAAUCUAAAAAGCUAAGGCUCUUGUAACUCGAAUUGGUAUCACUCUUUUGAAGAUUUAAUAGAAAAUUCUAAGCCAUUAAUGUGGCUGACCUUUUCUUUGGAUCAGCCAACAAAGCUUUCUGUUUUUUGUCUGUUGAAACCAAGCAUUUCUGGUUUGCAUUUCAGUUAUAUUGUUUUUGUUUUGAUUUUA